GCGUUGUUGGUUUAGUGGUAAAAUUCGUCGUUGCCAUCGUGGUUGAACCCGCAAGCGUUGUCGACGAGCCCCGGGUUCGAUUCCCGGACGACGCA
rfam:Xylona heveae TC161 unplaced genomic scaffold L228scaffold_4, whole genome shotgun sequence.